CUGAAGUCAAGAUGUCAGGAGAGCUGGCCCUUUCUGGAGGCUUGUCUUUCUACUGACCUCAUCAGGCCACCACUCAGGAAGCAAAGUUCAAUCCAUGCUUUCAAAAUGACCCAGAGAUAAGGGACCUGAGGCUUAGAGAGGGGAGUUAACUGGACCAAUGUCACACAGCAAGUCAAGGACCCGUUCCCAGAAGGGAAAUUACUGAGUAAAAGCAAACAAGCAUUUUUCAAGCUAUGGUUUCCGAAGCUGCUUUCUGAACACAGCACGUCACUCCCGCAGUGUCUCCGUCAACCUGGCCACCUUGGGCUCUGAGAAUGUUCUCCCACUGAGUAACCAUUCUUUGAUUUCUCAUAAAGGUCUAUGAAGAGGAAGGGGCCUGGGCUGGAGGGCUGCCUGAAGGAGGAGGCAAGGUCUGUUCAGGCUCUGGCAGGUACAGCGUCUCCAGCUUCAGAGCCCGUCUCUGGAAGAUGAGGGCGCUGGACUUUCCAGAGCCCCUUCAAUCACAAUGUACUCUGGCUCCAAAGGGAUCUCCCCACUUGCUGGAGAAAACCUUCUCACCAGCCGCUGGGAGAUUUGCUCUGAGACAGCACCACCUGCUGACCCUUCUGGGUAUGACACCCACCCCUUCUUGGGCGACCCUGGAAUCCUAGAAUUCUGUCUUUAUACUAAAAUGGACAUGU